AGACAGUGCUGGCUCUGAUCUUCCUGGCAUUGCAUACAUUUAAACCUCAUCCUUCUCCUUCAGUUGCCAGGGGUUUCUAUGGGAAUAAAUUCUUUUUCAUGCUUGGGAUUUAUCUUUUCCGCAGCAGUCACACCUUCAAGGGGCAGAGGGGGCCAGAACUGCUGAACCCAUGGAACUGGCAAGAGGGAAGUGGCAGAGCUAGAGGCCCUGGGACCUUUCAUUUUACCUUUCUCUGAAAAGACUCCAUGAAAAAGGCAGGGACCAUAAAACUCCGACACAAAUGCUCCAGCAUGACCCUGCUCCUCCCCAAAGUUCCUGUUGUGACGGUGCCAUCUCGACCUGGCAGAGUGCCACCAGGACCCCUCCUGAGGUGUGCAGCUGGGUGGACAGAGCGGCCAUCAGCAGAGAGGGACGUAGAGGUGACCAGCUGGGAAGCAGAGGCCUGAAUCCAAGCACCGAGGCACAGGGCAGGGUUUGACACCCAUCCACAGCUCCAGGCUGAGGCUGUGCUGCACACAGGGCUGGUCGGGGGCAGGAGGAGAAGCAGCCUGGGGCAGAUGUGCUGGCUGCCCAGGCUGGCUGUGCAGGGCCAGCAGGAUCAAUGUGCUGUAUUGAAGGGCUCCAUGGGCAUCGGGUACCACCCCAGGCACAGGCAGGCCAGUGACGACGUGCAGAGGAGUCACAGCUAAAUUUAGCCUCAUUUGUGCGUGAGUGUGAUGUGUUUAUUCUUGCCCUUAAAUAAAAACAUUGUUGGGA